AAACCUUAGUAAUAAAAUUUACUCCUUUAGAAUUGCAGUCUAAUAUCAUUAAUGACUAUAAAGUU
rnacentral:tRNA from 1 species